rnacentral:rRNA from 1 species
UUAGAUACCCUAUUAUACUAGUAAAAACCUAAAUUAUUAAUAGAUAUAGACUUUAAACUUGAAGAAUUUGGCGGUGAUUAAUCUUAUUAGAGGAACCUGUUUUUGAAUCGAUACACCACGUAGAAUCUUACUUGCUUUAUUAGUUUGUAUACCGUCAUUAUCAGAUGAUUUUUAAAGAAUUGAAUUAUUAAAGUUUAUAGAAUCUUGUUAGUUAAAUUAGAUCAAGGUGCAGCUUAUAGGCGAAGUUAAAAUGGGUUACAAUAAAUGUUUAUUUAUAUGAAAUAGUUAUAAGGAAGAUUAGCUAGGAAGGGGAAUUUAAUUGUAAUGUGAGUUUAAUAAGCUCAGAAGAUAUAAGCACUAAAUCAUGUACAUAUCGCCCGUCGCUA